ensembl:snRNA U5 U5 spliceosomal RNA
AUACUCUGGUUUCUCUUCAGAUCGUAUAAAUCUUUCGCCUUUUACUAAAGAUUUCCGUGGAGAGGAACAACUCUGAGUCUGAAACCAAUUUUUUGAGGCCUUGCUUUUUUGGCAGGGCU